rnacentral:rRNA from 1 species
UGGGGAAUAUUGCACAAUGGGCGCAAGCCUGAUGCAGCGACGCCGCGUGGGGGAUGACGGCCUUCGGGUUGUAAACUCCUUUCGCCAGGGACGAAGCGUUUUGUGACGGUACCUGGAGAAGAAGCACCGGCUAACUACGUGCCAGCAGCCGCGGUAAUACGUAGGGUGCAAGCGUUGUCCGGAAUUACUGGGCGUAAAGAGCUCGUAGGUGGUUUGUCACGUCGUCUGUGAAAUUCCACAGCUUAACUGUGGGCGUGCAGGCGAUACGGGCUGACUUGAGUACUGUAGGGGUAACCGGAAUUCCUGGUGUAGCGGUGAAAUGCGCAGAUAUCAGGAGGAACACCGAUGGCGAAGGCAGGUUACUGGGCAGUUACUGACGCUGAGGAGCGAAAGCAUGGGUAGCAAACAGGAUUAGAUACCCUGGUAGUCCAUGCCGUAAACGGUGGGCGCUAGGUGUAGGGGCCUUUUGGGGUUUCUGUGCCGUAGCUAACGCAUUAAGCGCCCCGCCUGGGGAGUACGGCCGCAAGGCUA